rnacentral:snoRNA from 1 species
UCUAUGAGAUGAUACACACCAUUCUAGCAUAGUUCACACUGAACCAUCGUGUUGAUAAAACUGCAUCUUGUCUUUCGCUCCUAUCUGACUCUUCGC